rnacentral:rRNA from 1 species
CGUAGGGUGCAAGCGUUAAUCGGAAUUACGUGGGCGUAAAGCGUGCGCAGGCGGUUUUGUAAGUCUGUCGUGAAAUCCCCGGGCUCAACCUGGGAAUUGCGAUGGAGACUGCAAGGCUAGAAUCUGGCAGAGGGGGGUAGAAUUCCACGUGUAGCAGUGAAAUGCGUAGAGAUGUGGAGGAACACCGAUGGCGAAGGCAGCCCCCUGGGUCAAGAUUGACGCUCAUGCACGAAAGCGUGGGGAGCAAACAGGAUUAGAUACUCUGGUAGUCCACGCCCUAAACGAUGUCUACUAGUUGUCGGGUUUUAAUUAACUUGGUAACGCAGCUAACGCGUGAAGUAGACCGCCUGGGGAGUACGGUCGCAAGAUUA